GGGGAUGUAGCUCAGUUAGUAGGGUACCUGCCUAUCAUGCAGGAAACCCUGGGUUCCAUCCCCA
rnacentral:tRNA from 1 species